UACGGAGGGUGCGAGCGUUGUCCGGAAUCAUUGGGCGUAAAGGGCGCGUAGGUGGCCACUUCAAGCGUGCGGUGAAAGUCGGGGGCUCAACCCCUGAUCGGCCGUGCGAACUGGGGGGCUGGAGCACUGUAGAGGCAGGCGGAAUUCCGGGUGUAGCGGUGGAAUGCGUAGAGAUCGGAAGAACACCGGUGGCGAAGGCGGCCUGCUGGGCAGUAGCUGACGCUGAUGCGCGACAGCGUGGGGAGCAAACAGG
rnacentral:rRNA from 1 species